GAUUACUGAGGACGCAUACCAGAUUUUAGUGGCAACUGAAGUCCUAUAAACUUUUUAAAUUUCAUAUUCGAAGUGACUCUACAUUUGAUAUGUCAGAUUACUGGAAACUCGUUUAAGAUCUAGUUAUAAGAAUUUAUUCGACUUUUAUUUUUAGUUUUUUCUGUGAUGAAAUAUUUAAAGUUCAAUGUUCUGCUACCUCUUAGGCAACUUAAUCUAAAUAUACAAAAAAUAAAAAACCUUGAGGAUGGUGUCGACUGAGUCUUCUCCUAGCUGCGAACUCUACAAAUAACAGCUGAUCCAAGGGACUUCGGUUAUUUUCUACUUCUACUGACGAACUAUUCGGGUCGGACACGCCUUUACCGAACAUCAUUUAGGGAGAGAUACGUUCGACUUUCUCUCAGUGAGACUGAGUAACCUUCUCAUGCAAUACCAAUACAUACGCAAGAGAUGAUUCGCUUCAUAAAAGGUUUCUGUCUAAUCUGGAACUAGCUUGUUGAAGAGCCGAUGCAAUCGGUUGCUCACUCAGUUUUCUCCCAGACAUUCAUAUGCAGACAUGAUGAAGCGCUCAAAAGUAGUUUGCAGGCUAUCAUAAUCAUAAUCAAUACACUCUCAAUUUGAUAAAGAUGAAUAUAGUUCCAUUCAAUAAAGAAACUCUUUCCCAAUUACAAAGUCCUUCCUUAUCCUCUAGCAAACAUCUCACCUAUACAGCACUACCCCAGUUCAACCCACUCACCUUCUUCUCCAGCUCUGGUCCAUUUUCCAU